UCACAGCAUAUGGUCCUGAUUAUGUGCUGGAAAUCACGCCAAGCUGCCGGCCAGACCGCAAUGAACCCCACCGAGUCCAGCAAAUCCUCAACUACAUCAAAGGGAAUCUGAAGCAUGUGGUCUAGUUGACAAAAAGAGAUCAGGUUUCCAGAGCCGAAGAGCAGCGCCUAUAAUGAAGACAGCGUGUUUAUGCAAGCAGUGUGUGGAAUUUGUGACUGCAGGGGAAAUUUGGAAGAAAUUACUUCCUGAAAAUUUCCAAGAGGCACCAAGUGGCAGCUGGCCUCCUGGGGUGAGGCAGGCAGACACCCCAGAGGCUCAACUAGGCCUAGAAGAAGAGUGAGAUUUCCAACAUUUAAAAUGUUUAUUU